CUACGGGUUGCAGCAGUGAGGAAUAUUGCACAAUGGGGGGAACCCUGAUGCAGCAACGCCGCGUGGAGGAUGACGCAUUUCGGUGUGUAAACUCCUUUUAUAUGUCAAGAAAAUGACGGUAGCAUAUGAAUAAGCACCGGCUAACUCCGUGCCAGCAGCCGCGGUAAUACGGAGGGUGCAAGCGUUACUCGGAAUCACUGGGCGUAAAGGACGCGUAGGCGGGUUGGAAAGUCAGGUGUGAAAUCCUGCAGCUUAACUGUAGAACUGCACUUGAAACUUCUAAUCUAGAGUAUGGGAGGGGGAGAUGGAAUUAGUGGUGUAGGGGUAAAAUCCGUAGAUAUCACUAGGAAUACCUAAAGCGAAGGCGAUCUCCCGGAACAUUACUGACGCUAAGGCGUGAAAGCGUGGGGAGCAAACAGGAUUAGAUACCCGCGUAGUC
rnacentral:rRNA from 1 species